rnacentral:misc_RNA from 1 species
AAGUCGUAACAAGGUUUCCGUAGGUGAACCUGCGGAAGGAUCAUUAUGGGAGUUUGGUUAGAUGAGAGAUUGUGAAGAGGUGUGUGAUUGCUGGGGGUAAUUGAAUGGAUUACAGGGGUAAUUGAAUGGAUUUUACCUGGGGCACACACAAAAUAACAAGAACGAUAAUAGAGAGAUGAGUGCUUCAACAGAGCACAAACCAAUACAAAAAACAAAUACAACUUUUAACAAUGGAUCUCUAGGCUCUU